rfam:Picea glauca, whole genome shotgun sequence.
GUAACGGUGUCUUUAGACACCACCUUUUGUCUUUGGAAUUUUUUG